rnacentral:rRNA from 1 species
UACGAAGGGGGCUAGCGUUGCUCGGAAUCACUGGGCGUAAAGCGCACGUAGGCGGAUUGCUAAGUCAGGGGUGAAAUCCUGGAGCUCAACUCCAGAACUGCCCUUGAUACUGGCGGUCUCGAGUCCGGGAGAGGUGAGUGGAACUGCGAGUGUAGAGGUGAAAUUCGUAGAUAUUCGCAAGAACACCAGUGGCGAAGGCGGCUUACUGGUCCGGAUCUGACGCUGAGGCGCGAAAGCGUGGGGAGCAAACAGG